UUUGCUGGAAACGGAAGGGCAAAUACACCUUCUAGCCACAUUUCAGAGCCCAUCUGCCACCUCCCACCAGAGAUUCCCAAACUGCAGAGCUGGCUGCACCUGGAAUUCAUUCACCAAAACCAAUUCAUCAAAGCAGGGCACUAACUUGAUGAUCCUGAAUGCAACGGCAAGGAAGUUUCAUGAGAAGGAAAGGCAGUGAACAUUACUGAGCGUUAACUACUGAGCCAGCUGCUCUAUAUCCGUCGCCUGCUGCAUGCUUCUGGCCAGCCCUGUGAGGUCACCAAAUAUCUAUUGAGUGCUUGCUCUGUGAUCUUGCAGACAAUCCAAAAGCACAGAGAUGAAGAUGACAUGCUCCAUGGAGUCAGAGAGGGGCCUAGAUGCUGCGGGAAACACAGUAACAGAUUAGAUCCAACAAAUAUUAAGAGGCCGCGAUGACCAGACCAUUUAUGGACAGCAGAUAAAUGACGGACAUAAGACUACCGCCACAGAUUGCGGAAGGAGGCCUUUUCAGUAAGUGGUGCCGGGACAAUCUGGGAAUAAAAGAUUUGAUUUGUACCUCCCAUUAAACAUCAAUUCUAGGUGAAUAAUGUGGACUUAAAGGUCUGUUUAGUCUUGAACGACUGACCUCUAAAACUUUCAGGAGAUAGCAUAGCUUCAUGCGUUAGAGUAGGGAAGGUUUUCUAAACGAUUCAUAAGAGUACCAACCAUAAGGGAAAGAAAACCACACUAAGCCUCAAGAACUUCCAUUCACCAAAAGACGAGCCAGAGUAAGGUAUGUGGAAUACAUGUAUCCAUAAUAUAUAAUGCCCACACCCAUAAGGUAAUUUAAAAAGGCAAGAAUGUUGAACAGCACUUCACAAAAGAUGGUGUCCAAAUGGCUAGUAACGUGAAAAAGGAGAAUCGGCAUCAUUAGGGAAAUCAAAAUCAUAAUGAAAUAUGACACACACCCUCAGAAUGGCUAUGAUGAAAAAGAGGGACAAAUUCAAUUGUUCAUGAGGCUGCAAAGAAAUUAUAACUUUCAUAUACCGCUGAAUGGGAGUAUAAGUUGGUACACACAAUUUGUAAAACUGCUUGGCAGUAUCUACUGAAGCCAACCUAAUAGGUAUUUCCCUAAUAAAAAGAGUAUAUAUACACCAGAACACAUGUACAAAAAUAUUCAUGCCAUCCUUAUUCAUAAUAGUACCAAACUAUAAACAACCCAAAUGUCUAACCACAGUAAAAUGGAUGAUUCAAUUAGUCUAUUCAUGCAAUGAGAAUACUAGAGUAAUUGACUCAGUAAUAAAAAAUGAAUCAUCCACAACAUGGAUGAAUCACAAAUAUAAUAAAAUCAGAGGUCAGAAGGGAAAGGGAAAACAUAUCAGAUAACUCUAUAUGAAGUUCAAGGACAAGCUCUGGAAACAGAACUCAGAACCAUGGUUCCUUGUGAAACACUGAAGAGGCCAUGGAAGAACCACCUAUGAUACUGUAAAUGUUCUGCAUCUCGCGAGACCUGGGUGUGGGCUACAUGCCCACAUGCCUUCAUCAAGCUGUACACUUAGGAUUUAUGCAUUUGGCUGUAAUAUGUUAAUUAAACCACCAGAACACCUAAAAACCCCAAAACCAGAAAAAUGCCACAGGUACAUGGGUUUAUGUACUAAUAUUGCACACUGAAUUUUGAGAAAUAUAAGCACCUAACAAUGAGGGAAAUAUACCUUUGUCCAAGUGAUCAACUGUUCAAUUUAUAUCCCUCUACCUAUCAAUGAUAAUCUCUGUUAAAAAAAAAAAUGGCAAACCACAGAGAAGGUAUUAUGGAACCUAUACCCAGAAAGACCUCUGAAAAUCUAUUAGAACAGUGUGGCAAU